GCGGGCGUAGUUUAAUGGCCAGAACAACAGCCUUCCAAGUUGUAGACGUGAGUUCAACUCUCAUCGCUCGCU
rnacentral:tRNA from 1 species